AAUCUACCCUUGAGAUGGGGAUAGCCGUUAGAAAUAGCGGGUAAUACCGAAUACACUUAUUAUUUCACAAGAGAUAGUAAGGAAAGGAAGCUACGGCUUCGCUCGAGGAUGAGCCUGCGUCCCAUUAGCUAGUUGGUGAGGUAACGGCUCACCAAGGCAACGAUGGGUAUCCGGCCUGAGAGGGUGAUCGGACACAUUGGGACUGAGAUACGGCCCAAACUCCUACGGGAGGCAGCAGCUAAGAAUAUUCCGCAAUGGACGGAAGUCUGACGGAGCGACGCCGCGUGGAUGAAGAAGGCUGAAAAGUUGUAAAAUCCUUUUGUUGAUGAAGAAUAAAGGUAAGAGGGAAUGCUUAUCUGAUGACGGUAAUCGGCGAAUAAGCCCCGGCUAAUUACGUGCCAGCAGCCGCGGUAACACGUAAGGGGCGAGCGUUGUUCGGAAUUAUUGGGCGUAAAGGGCAUGUAGGCGGUUGUGUAAGCCUGAUGUGAAAUCCUGGGGCUUAACCCUAGAACAGCAUUGGGUACUGCAUAACUUGAAUUACGGAAGGGAAACUGGAAUUCCAAGUGUAGGGGUGGAAUCUGUAGAUAUUUGGAAGAACACCGGUGGCGAAGGCGGGUUUCUGGCCGAUAAUUGACGCUGAGAUGCGAAAGUGUGGGGAUCGAACAGGAUUAGAUACCCUGGUAGUCCACACCGUAAACGAUGUACACUAGGUGUUGGGGUACGAACCUCAGUGCCGAAGCAAACGUGAUAAGUGUACCGCCUGGGGAGUAUGCCCGCAAGGGUGAAACUCAAAGGAAUUGACGGGGGCCCGCACAAGCGGUGGAGCAUGUGGUUUAAUUCGAUGGUACGCGAGGAACCUUACCUGGGUUUGACAUCUAGCGGAGUACUUUAGAGAUAAGGUAGUGUAGCAAUACACCGCUAGACAGGUGCUGCAUGGCUGUCGUCAGCUCGUGCCGUGAGGUGUUGGGUUAAGUCCCGCAACGAGCGCAACCCCUACUGCCAGUUACUAACAGGUAAAGCUUGAGGACUCUGGCGGAACUGCCGAUGACAAAUCGGAGGAAGGUGGGGAUGACGUCAAGUCAUCAUGGCCCUUAUGUCCAGGGCUACACACGUGCUACAAUGGUUGCUACAAAGCGAAGCGACACCGUGAGGUUGAGCAAACCGCAAAAAAGCAAUCGUAGUUCGGAUUGAAGUCUGAAACUCGACUUCAUGAAGUUGGAAUCGCUAGUAAUCGCGCAUCAGCACGGCGC
rnacentral:rRNA from 1 species